rnacentral:misc_RNA from 1 species
AAGAGACGUUGCCCUUCGGGGUAUACCUCCCACCCUUUGUUUAUUAUACCUUUGUUGCUUUGGCGGGCCCGUCCUCGGACCACCGGCUUCUGCUGGUCAGUGCCCGCCAGAGGACCUAAAACUCUGUUUGUUAAUAUUGUCUGAGUACUAUAUAAUAGUCA